rnacentral:rRNA from 1 species
GGGACACGUGGUAUCCUGUCUGAAUAUGGGGGGACCAUCCUCCAAGGCUAAAUACUCCUGACUGACCGAUAGUGAACCAGUACCGUGAGGGAAAGGCGAAAAGAACCCCGGCGAGGGGAGUGAAAAAGAACCUGAAACCGUGUACGUACAAGCAGUGGGAGCACCUUCGGGUGUGACUGCGUACCUUUUGUAUAAUGGGUCAGCGACUUAUAUUCUGUAGCAAGGUUAACCGUAUAGGGGAGCCGCAGGGAAACCGAGUCUUAACUGGGCGUUAAGUUGCAGGGUAUAGACCCGAAACCCGGUGAUCUAGCCAUGGGCAGGUUGAAGGUUGGGUAACACUAACUGGAGGACCGAACCGACUAAUGUUGAAAAAUUAGCGGAUGACUUGUGGCUGGGGGUGAAAGGCCAAUCAAACCGGGAGAUAGCUGGUUCUCCCCGAAAGCUAUUUAGGUAGCGCCUCGUGAAUUCAUCUUCGGGGGUAGAGCACUGUUUCGGCUAGGGGGUCAUCCCGACUUACCAACCCGAUGCAAACUACGAAUACCGAAGAAUGUUAUCACGGGAGACACACGGCGGGUGCUAACGUCCGUCGUGAAGAGGGAAACAACCCAGACCGCCAGCUAAGGUCCCAAAGUCACAGUUAAGUGGGAAACGAUGUGGGAAGGCACAGACAGCCAGGAUGUUGGCUUAGAAGCAGCCAUCAUUUAAAGAAAGCGUAAUAGCUCACUGGUCGAGUCGGCCUGCGCGGAAGAUGUAACGGGGCUAAACUGUGCACCGAAGCUGCGGCAGCGACACUAUGUGUUGUUGGGUAGGGGAGCGUUCUGUAAGCCUGCGAAGGUGGCCUGUGAGGGUUGCUGGAGGUAUCAGAAGUGCGAAUGCUGACAUAAGUAACGAUAAUGCGGGUGAAAAGCCCGCACGCCGGAAGACCAAGGGUUCCUGUCCAACGUUAAUCGGGGCAGGGUGAGUCGACCCCUAAGGCGAGGCCGAAAGGCGUAGUCGAUGGGAAACAGGUUAAUAUUCCUGUACUUGGUGUUACUGCGAAGGGGGGACGGAGAAGGCUAUGUUAGCCGGGCGACGGUUGUCCCGGUUUAAGCAUGUAGGCGGAGGUUCCAGGUAAAUCCGGUACCUUUUUAACGCUGAGGUGUG